rnacentral:rRNA from 1 species
AGGAUAAACGCUGGCGGCGUGCCUAACACAUGCAAGUCGAACGCCCUACGCAAGUAGGGAGUGGCGGACGGGUGAGGAACACGUGGGUUAUCUGCCUUUCGGUGAGGAAUACCAGCGAGAAAUCGCUGACAAUACCGCAUACGGUUCUUUCGAGAGGAAGAACGAAAGUCGUAAGACGCCGGGAGAUGAGCCUGCGCCCGAUUAGUUUGUUGGUGGGGUAAAAGCCUACCAAGACUGCAAUCGGUAGCUGGUCUGAGAGGACGAUCAGCCACACUGGGAUUGAGAACGGCCCAGACUCCUACGGGGGGCAGCAGUGAGGAAUUUUCGUCAAUGGGGGAAACCCUGAACGAGCAACGCCGCGUGGAGGAAGAAGGUUUUCGGAUCGUAAACUGCUUUUCUGUGGGAAGAGAACGGACGGUACCACAGGAAGAAGCCCCGGCUAACUACGUGCCAGCAGCCGC